ensembl:lncRNA
GGAUCCCAAUGGGGAAGGAUCCCAAUGUGGGUCCCAACGUGGAUCCCAAUGGGAGGGAUCCCAAUGGGGAGAGAUCCCAAUGUGGGUCCCAAUUGAGAUCCCAAUGGGGAGGGAUCCCAAUGUGGGUCCCAACAUGGGUCCCAACAUGGAGAGAUCCCAAUGGGGAGAGAUCCCAAUGGGGAGGGAUCCCAAUGUGGGUCCCAAUGUGAAGAGAGCCCAAUGGGGAGGGAUCCCAAUGUGGGUCCCAAUGUGGAGAGACCCCAAUGGGGAGAGAUCCCAAUGUGGGUCCCAAUGUGGGUUCCAACGUGGAGAGAUCCCAAUGUGGAGAGAUCCCAAUGGGGAGGGAUCCCAAUGUGGAUCCCAAUGGGGAGAGAUCCCAAUGGGGAGGGAUCCCAAUGUGGGUCCCAAUGUGGAUCCCAAUGGGGAGGGAUCCCAAUGUGGAGAGAUCCCAAUGGGGAGAAAUCCCAACGUGGGUCCCAAUGUGAAGAGAUCCCAAUGGGGAGGGAUCCUAAUGUGGGUCCCAAUGUGGAGAGAUCCCAAUGUGGAGAGAUCCCAAUGGCGAG